ACAGUGGACGCGAGCAUCUUUGUGGCCAAGUUAAUAAGGGCACACGGUGGAUGCCUAGGCACUAGGAGCCGAAGAAGGACGUAGGAACCUGCGAUAAGCCUUGGGGAGCUGGUAACCGAGCUGUGAUCCAAGGAUUUCCGAAUGGGGAAACCCGGCUGGAGUCAUUUCCAGUCACCCACGCCUGAACACAUAGGGCGUGCGGAGGGAACGUGGGGAAGUGAAACAUCUCAGUACCCACAGGAAGAGAAAGCAACCGCGAUUCCGUGAGUAGUGGCGAGCGAAAGCGGAAGAGGCUAAACCGAUCACAUGUGAUAGCCGGCAGGCGUUGUGUGGUCGGGGUCGUGGGACCUCUCAGUCAGUUCUGCCGAGCUGGCAGCAAGUUACCAAUCCGCGUCAUAGUCGAAGGGCAUUGAAAGGCCCGGCAUAGAGGGUGCUACCCCCGUAGACGAAAUGGCGUGGACUUGCGAGGGGGAUCCCAAGUAGCACGGGGCCCGAGAAAUCCCGUGCGAAUCUGGCAGGACCACCUGCUAAGCCUAAAUACUCCCUAGUGACCGAUAGCGGACAAGUACCGUGAGGGAAAGGUGAAAAGUACCCCGGGAGGGGAGUGAAAUAGUACCUGAAACCGUGUGCUUACAAUCCGUCGGAGCCUCCAUAGCAGGGGUGACGGCGUGCCUUUUGAAGAAUGAGCCUGCGAGUUAGUGUUACGUGGCGAGGUUAACCCGUGUGGGGAAGCCGUAGCGAAAGCGAGUCCGAAUAGGGCGUUUGAGUCGCGUGAUCUAGACCCGAAGCGGAGUGAUCUACCCAUGGCCAGGUUGAAGCGCGGGUAAGACCGCGUGGAGGACCGAACCCACCAGGGUUGAAAACCUGGGGGAUGAGCUGUGGGUAGGGGUGAAAGGCCAAUCAAACUCCGUGAUAGCUGGUUCUCCCCGAAAUGCAUUUAGGUGCAGCGUCACGUGUUUCUUGCCGGAGGUAGAGCUACUGGAUGGCUAAUGGGCCCUACAAGGUUACUGACGUCAGCCAAACUCCGAAUGCCGGUAAGUGAGAGCGUGGCAGUGAGACUGCGGGGGAUAAGCUCCGUAGUCGAGAGGGAAACAGCCCAGACCACCAGCUAAGGCCCCUAAGCGUGUGCUAAGUGGGAAAGGAUGUGGAGUUGCCCAGACAACCAGGAGGUUGGCUUAGAAGCAGCCACCCUUUAAAGAGUGCGUAAUAGCUCACUGGUCAAGUGAUUCCGCGCCGACAAUGUAGCGGGGCUCAAGCACACCGCCGAAGCUGUGGCAUUCACACAUUGCCCGGCCGUUCCUUCGGGUUCGGUCCAAGCGUGUGGAUGGGUAGGGGAGCGUCGUGUGGCGAGUGAAGCGGCGGAGUGAUCCAGCCGUGGACGCCACACGAGUGAGAAUGCAGGCAUGAGUAGCGAAUGACGGGUGAGAAACCCGUCCGCCGAAUGACCAAGGGUUCCAGGGUCAAGCUAAUCUGCCCUGGGUAAGUCGGGACCUAAGGCGAGGCCGACAGGCGUAGUCGAUGGACAACGGGUUGAUAUUCCCGUACCGGCGAAGAACCGCCCAUGCUGAACCCAGCGAUGCUAAGCGCCUGAAGCCGGCGUCCUCUUCGGAGGGUGCUUGGUGGAGCGCGCGACCCGAACUGGUAGUAGGCAAGCGAUGGAGUGACGCAGGAAGGUAGCCUCCGCGUGGCGAUGGUAGUCCACGUCCAAGGGUGUAGGGCGAGGUAUAGGCAAAUCCGUACCUCACAUAGCCUGAGACCUGAUAGUGACCGCGUUAGCGGGAAGCAGGGUGAUCCUAUGCUGCCGAGAAAAGCUUCUAGCGAGGUUCUAGCCGCCCGUACCCCAAACCGACUCAGGUGGUCAGGUAGAGAAUACCAAGGCGAUCGAGUGAAUCGUGGUUAAGGAACUCGGCAAAAUGCCCCCGUAACUUCGGGAGAAGGGGGGCCGGACAGGUGAAGGAGUUUACCUCCUAGCCUUGAAGGCCGCAGAGACCAGGGAGAAGCGACUGUUUACUAAAAACACAGGUCCGUGCGAAGUCGCAAGACGAUGUAUACGGACUGACGCCUGCCCGGUGCUGGAACGUUAAGGGGACGGGUUAGCCUCACGGCGAAGCUCAGAACUUAAGCGCCAGUAAACGGCGGUGGUAACUAUAACCAUCCUAAGGUAGCGAAAUUCCUUGUCGGGUAAGUUCCGACCUGCACGAAUGGCGUAACGACUUCUCCGCUGUCUCAACCACGAACUCGGCGAAAUUGCACUACGAGUAAAGAUGCUCGUUACGCGCAGCAGGACGGAAAGACCCCGGGACCUUUACUAUAGCUUGGUAUUGGUGUUCGGUACGGCUUGUGUAGGAUAGGUGGGAGACUGUGAAGCCGGCACGCCAGUGUCGGUGGAGUCAACGUUGAAAUACCACUCUGGUCGUUCUGGAUAUCUAACCUCGGUCCGUGAUCCGGAUCAGGGACAGUGCCUGGUGGGUAGUUUAACUGGGGCGGUUGCCUCCUAAAAUGUAACGGAGGCGCUCAAAGGUUCCCUCAGCCUGGUUGGCAAUCAGGUUUCGAGUGUAAGUGCACAAGGGAGCUUGACUGCGAGAGAGACAUCUCGAGCAGGGACGAAAGUCGGAACUAGUGACCCGGCGGUGGCUUGUGGAAGCGCCGUCGCUCAACGGAUAAAAGGUACCCCGGGGAUAACAGGCUGAUCUUGCCCAAGAGUCCAUAUCGACGGCAUGGUUUGGCACCUCGAUGUCGGCUCGUCGCAUCCUGGGGCUGGAGUAGGUCCCAAGGGUUGGGCUGUUCGCCCAUUAAAGCGGUACGCGAGCUGGGUUUAGAACGUCGUGAGACAGUUCGGUCCCUAUCCGCUGUGCGCGCAGGAGACUUGAGAAGGGCUAUCCCUAGUACGAGAGGACCGGGAUGGACGAACCUCUGGUGUGUCAGUUGUUCCGCCAGGAGCACCGCUGAUUAGCUACGUUCGGAAGUGAUAACCGCUGAAAGCAUCUAAGCGGGAAGCACGCUUCAAGAUGAGGUUUCCACGGGGUGUUCCCCGAGAGGCUCCCAGCUAGACUACUGGGUUGAUAGGCCGGAUGUGGAAGUGCAGCAAUGCAUGCAGCUGACCGGUACUAAUAAGCCGAUAACUUGAUACAAA
rnacentral:rRNA from 1 species